GCCAGACUCCUACGGGAGGCAGCAGUGGGGAAUAUUGGGCAAUGGACGCAAGUCUGACCCAGCAACGCCGCGUGAAGGAAGAAGGCUUUCGGGUUGUAAACUUCUUUUAAGGGGGAAGAGCAGAAGACGGUACCCCUUGAAUAAGCCACGGCUAACUACGUGCCAGCAGCCGCGGUAAUACGGAGGAUCCGAGCGUUAUCCGGAUUCAUUGGGUUUAAAGGGUGCGUAGGUUGUUUUAUAAGUUAGCGGUGAAAUACCGAUGCUCAACAUCGGGGCUGCCGCUAAUACUGUAGGACUAGAGAUCGGAUGCAGCAGGCGGAAUGUGUAGUGUAGCGGUGAAAUGCAUAGAUAUUACACAGAACACCGAUUGCGAAGGCAGCUUGCUAGGCCGGAUCUGACACUGAUGCACGAAAGCGUGGGGAUCGAACAGGAUUAGAUACCCCCGUA
rnacentral:rRNA from 1 species